rnacentral:rRNA from 1 species
UACGGAGGGGGCUAGCGUUGUUCGGAAUACUGGGCGUAAAGCGUACGUAGGCGGCUUUGUAAGUUAGAGGUGAAAGCCCGGAGCUCAACUCCGGAAUUGCCUUUAAGACUGCAUCGCUUGAAUCAUGGAGAGGUUAGUGGAAUUCCGAGUGUAGAGGUGAAAUUCGUAGAUAUUCGGAAGAACACCAGUGGCGAAGGCGACUAACUGGACAUGUAUUGACGCUGAGGUACGAAAGCGUGGGGAGCGAACAGG